rnacentral:rRNA from 1 species
GACGAACCGUGCGAACGUUGUUCGGAAUCACUGGGCUUAAAGGGCGCGUAGGCGGAUUCCCAAGUCCGGGGUGAAAUCUUUCGGCUUAACCGGAAAAUAGCCCUGGAUACUGGGGGUCUCGAGCGAGGUAGGGGCAGCUGGAACUUCCGGUGGAGCGGUGAAAUGCGUUGAUAUCGGAAGGAACGCCGGUGGCGAAAGCGAGCUGCUGGACCUCUUCUGACGCUGAGGCGCGAAAGCCAGGGGAGCAAACGGG